CAGGAUGAACGCUGGCGGCGUGCUUAACACAUGCAAGUCGAACGGGGUAUAUUUAAAAGCUUGCUUUGUUUAUACUUAGUGGCGGACGGGUGAGUAACGCGUGGGUAACCUGCCUUAUACCGGGGGACAACAGUUGGAAACGACUGCUAAUACCGCAUAAGCGCACAGUCUCGCAUGAGACAGUGUGAAAAACUCCGGUGGUAUAAGAUGGACCCGCGUCUGAUUAGCCAGUUGGCGGUGUAACGGACCACCAAAGCGACGAUCAGUAGCCGGCCUGAGAGGGUGAACGGCCACAUUGGGACUGAGACACGGCCCAAACUCCUACGGGAGGCAGCAGUGGGGAAUAUUGCACAAUGGAGGAAACUCUGAUGCAAGCGACGCCGCGUGAGUGAAGAAGUAUUUCGGUAUGUAAAGCUCUAUCAGCAGGAAAGAAAAUGACGGUACCUGACUAAGAAGCCCCGGCUAACUACGUGCCAGCCGCAGC
rnacentral:rRNA from 1 species